GCAGUGGGGAAUUUUGGACAAUGGGCGAAAGCCUGAUCCAGCAAUGCCGCGUGUGUGAAGAAGGCCUUCGGGUUGUAAAGCACUUUUGUCCGGAAAGAAAUCCUUGGCUCUAAUACAGUCGGGGGAUGACGGUACCGGAAGAAUAAGCACCGGCUAACUACGUGCCAGCAGCCGCGGUAAUACGUAGGGUGCGAGCGUUAAUCGGAAUUACUGGGCGUAAAGCGUGCGCAGGCGGUUUGCUAAGACCGAUGUGAAAUCCCCGGGCUCAACCUGGGAACUGCAUUGGUGACUGGCAGGCUAGAGUAUGGCAGAGGGGGGUAGAAUUCCACGUGUAGCAGUGAAAUGCGUAGAGAUGUGGAGGAAUACCGAUGGCGAAGGCAGCCCCCUGGGCCAAUACUGACGCUCAUGCACGAAAGCGUGGGGAGCAAACAGGAUUAGAUACCCUGGUAGUCCUCGCCCUAAACGAUGUCAACUAGUUGUUGGGGAUUCAUUUCCUUAGUAACGUAGCUAACGCGUGAAGUUGACCGCCUGGGGAGUACGGUCGCAAGAUUAAAACUCAAAGGAAUUGACUGGGACCCGCACAAGCGGUGGAUGAUGUGGAUUAAUUCGAUGCAACGCGAAAAACCUUACCUACCCUUGACAUGGUCGGAAUCCCGCUGAGAGGUGGGAGUGCUCGAAAGAGAACCGGCGCACAGGUGCUGCAUGGCUGUCGUCAGCUCGUGUCGUGAGAUGUUGGGUUAAGUCCCGCAACGAGCGCAACCCUUGUCCUUAGUUGCUACGCAAGAGCACUCUAAGGAGACUGCCGGUGACAAACCGGAGGAAGGUGGGGAUGACGCCAAGUCCUCAUGGCCCUUAUGGGUAGGGCUUCACACGUCAUACAAUGGUCGGAACAGAGGGUUGCCAACCCGCGAGGGGGAGCUAAUCCCAGAAAACCGAUCGUAGUCCGGAUUGCACUCUGCAACUCGAGUGCAUGAAGCUGGAAUCGCUAGUAAUCGCGGAUCAGCAUGCCGCGGUGAAUACGUCCCAGGCCUUGUACACACCGC
rnacentral:rRNA from 1 species